UACGGAGGAUCCAAGCGUCAUCCGGAUUUAUUGGGUUUAAAGGGUGCGUAGGCGGAUUGAUAAGUUAGAGGUGAAAUGUCCGAGCUCAACUCGGGAACUGCCUCUAAUACUGUUGAUCUAGAGAGUAGAUGCGGUAGGCGGAAUGUAUGGUGUAGCGGUGAAAUGCUUAGAGAUCAUACAGAACACCGAUUGCGAAGGCAGCUUACCAAUCUAUAUCUGACGUUGAGGCACGAAAGCGUGGGGAGCAAACAGG
rnacentral:rRNA from 1 species